rnacentral:rRNA from 1 species
CCUACGGGAGGCAGCAGUGGGGAAUAUUGGACAAUGGGCGAAAGCCUGAUCCAGCAACGCCGCGUGAGGGAUGACUGCCUUCGGGUUGUAAACCUCUUUCAGCAGGGACGAAGCGAAAGUGACGGUACCUGCAGAAGAAGCACCGGCCAACUACGUGCCAGCAGCCGCGGUAAUACGUAGGGUGCGAGCGUUGUCCGGAAUUAUUGGGCGUAAAGGGCUCGUAGGCGGUCUGUUGCGUCGGGAGUGAAAACUCAGGGCUUAACCCUGAGCCUGCUUCCGAUACGGGCAGACUAGAGGUAUGCAGGGGAGAACGGAAUUCCUGGUGUAGCGGUGAAAUGCGCAGAUAUCAGGAGGAACACCGGUGGCGAAGGCGGUUCUCUGGGCAUUACCUGACGCUGAGGAGCGAAAGUGUGGGGAGCGAACGGGAUUAGAUACCCUGGUAGUCCACACCGUAAACGUUGGGCGCUAGGUGUGGGACUCAUUCCACGAGUUCCGUGCCGCNGCUACGCAUAGCGCCCGCCGUCGGGUAGGUACGGCCGCGACGGACGUAAACCGUUAAACGGUAAAGUUAGUAACGGUCGUGUUAGACGUGCCGAACGGACGACCGACGAGGGAGGAGG